rnacentral:rRNA from 1 species
UACCGGGAGGCCUAACACAUGCAAGCCGAGCGGUAUGGAUAGCUUGCUAUCCAGAGAGCGGCGCACGGGUGCGUAACACGUGUGCAACCUACCUUUAUCUGGGGGAUAGCCUUUCGAAAGGAAGAUUAAUACCCCAUAAUAUAAUUGAUGGCAUCAUUGAUUAUUGAAAACUCCGGUGGAUAGAGAUGGGCACGCGCAAGAUUAGAUAGUUGGUGAGGUAACGGCUCACCAAGUCUGUGAUCUUUAGGGGUCCUGAGAGGGAGAUCCCCCACACUGGUACUGAGACACGGACCAGACUCCUACGGGAGGCAGCAGUGAGGAAUAUUGGACAAUGGGUGAGAGCCUGAUCCAGCCAUCCCGCGUGAAGGAUGACGGUCCUAUGGAUUGUAAACUUCUUUUGUACAGGGAUAAACCUACCCUCGUGAGGGUAGCUGAAGGUACUGUACGAAUAAGCACCGGCUAACUCCGUGCCAGCAGCCGCGGUAAUACGGAGGGUGCAAGCGUUAUCCGGAUUUAUUGGGGUUUAAAGGGUCCGUAGGCGGACCAGUAAGUCAGUGGUGAAAUCUCAUAGCUUAACUUAUGAAACUGCCAUUGAUACUGCNGGGUCUUGAGUUAAUUUGAAGUGGCUGGAAUUAAGUA